GGUUAAUAUUCCCGAACUCGGACGUGGAUAUCGGUGCUUGCACCAGAUGCGGUAACGCAAACGAACCCGGAGACGCUGGCAGAAGCCCUGGGAAGAGUUCUCUCUUCUUUGUUAGGGACGAAUUCCGUGGAAUCGCUUCGCGCGGAGAUACGGAUGAUGUUCCCGUAAAAGCAUCGCGGUUUUGCGGUGUCCGGUGCGCUUCUUCUGGCCCUUGAAAAUCCGGGUAAGAGAUUGAUUUUCACGCCGAAUCGUACCCAUAUCCGCAGCAGGUCUCCAAGGUGAACAGCCUCUAGUCUUUGAACAAUGUAGGACAAGGGAAGUCGGCAAAUUAGAAUCCGUAACUUCGGAAAAGGAUUGGCUCUAAGGGCUGGGCCGUUCGAGCUCCGGUUAGAAGCGAUGGUCGAUGCGUAGGAACUGGGUAAACUG
rnacentral:rRNA from 1 species